GUGUCAGCAGCCGCGGUAAUACGUAGGGUGCAAGCGUUAAUCGGAAUUACUGGGCGUAAAGCGUGCGCAGGCGGUUCGGAAAGAAAGAUGUGAAAUCCCAGAGCUUAACUUUGGAACUGCAUUUUUAACUACCGGGCUAGAGUGUGUCAGAGGGAGGUGGAAUUCCGCGUGUAGCAGUGAAAUGCGUAGAUAUGCGGAGGAACACCGAUGGCGAAGGCAGCCUCCUGGGAUAACACUGACGCUCAUGCACGAAAGCGUGGGGAGCAAACAGGAUUAGAUACCCUGGUAGUCCACGCCCUAAACGAUGUCAACUAGCUGUUGGGGCCUUCGGGCCUUGGUAGCGCAGCUAACGCGUGAAGUUGACCGCCUGGGGAGUACGGUCGCAAGAUUAAAACUCAAAGGAAUUGACGG
rnacentral:rRNA from 1 species